rnacentral:rRNA from 1 species
CCUACGGGGGGCAGCAGUCGAGAAUCAUUCACAAUGGGGGAAACCCUGAUGGUGCGACGCCGCGUGGGGGAAUGAAGGUCUUCGGAUUGUAAACCCCUGUCAUGUGGGAGCAAAUUAAAAAGAUAGUACCACAAGAGGAAGAGACGGCUAACUCUGUGCCAGCAGCCGCGGUAAUACAGAGGUCUCAAGCGUUGUUCGGAAUCACUGGGCGUAAGGCGGGCGUAGGCUGUUUCGUAAGUCGUGUGUGAAAGGCGCGGGCUCAACCCGCGGACUGCACAUGAUACUGCGAGACUAGAGUAAUGGAGGGGGAACCGGAAUUCUCGGUGUAGCAGUGAAAUGCGUAGAUAUCGAGAGGAACACUCGUGGCGAAGGCGGGUUCCUGGACAUUAACUGACGCUGAGGCACGAAGGCCAGGGGAGCGAAAGGGAUUAGAUACCCUAGUAGUC